UCCUCCCCUCCCUCUUCCCUACCCCCCUUCUCACUCUUCCCCGGCUCGGGUUCCCCAGAGCUGAGCCUGGCCAUCGUCGAGAGAGUGCCCGGAGAGAAAGUUCAAGGGACCUCAGAGGAACACAAGGAUUCUGAGUCAGAGGUGCUGGGCUGCAGGUGCAGAAACUGAGUAACGUGGCGGGAACCUCCCUAAUUCCGAGAUCUGGGGAACUGCGCCUCUUGCCAAUGGACAGAGAGAUCUUGGAGUCCUGCUCUCAUUGGAUAACAGCUCUGCUACUGAGGAAGCCGAUUGGCUGAGCUCUAGCCUAGGUGUGGAGCGAGAGAAAAGCUGGGACAGGACCCACGACAAGGACAAUUAGGAAGAAGCCGCGAAUGCAGGCGGAGUGAACAACCUCGUCACAAACCGAUUCUCCAAACGUGCCUUCUCCAUAAGUGCAGAAGUUUACCAACCGGAGGAGGGAAACAUUAUGAACUCCGGGACUGUGCAUCUCAAAGCUGACAAAGAUCUCGAUCGGAAAGGGCUUGCAGAGGCAGCCUGCUGUUUUAAGAGUCUCCGUGGAGAGCAGGCAUGCAAGUAUUCCAUGCUGUGCUCGGGAAGGGAUCAGUGUCGCAACAGUGGCUACUUCUAUGCAGUUUGACAGAGGAAUAUACGAUGUAUAUAAAGUCACAGGGUUGAAAAGUGUGUUGGUAAUUACAAUACGUGUGGUGAUUUGGGAGAACUGGCCUUAAUGUGCAUGCAAUACACCUGAAGUGGCUAAAGUUCCUGCUUCCUCUUCUGUGGGUUCUCUGCUGUUUGGA